rnacentral:rRNA from 1 species
UCGACAACGGAUCUCUUCGCUCUCGCAUCGAUGAAGAACGCAGCGAAAUGCGAUAAGUAAUGUGAAUUGCAGAAUUCAGUGAAUCAUCGAAUCUUUGAACGCACCUUGCGCCCUUUGGUAUUCCGAGGGGCAUGCCUGUUUGAGUGUCAUU